rnacentral:rRNA from 1 species
AUUGAACGCUGGCGGCAUGCUUUACACAUGCAAGUCGAACGGCAGCGCGGGGGCAACCCUGGCGGCGAGUGGCGAACGGGUGAGUAAUGUAUCGGAACGUAUCCUGUAAUGGGGGAUAACCAGUCGAAAGAUUGGGUAAUACCGCAUACGCACGAGAGUGGAAAGUAGGGGAUCGCAAGACCUUACGUUAUAGGAGCGGCCGAUAUCUGAUUAGCUAGUUGGUGGGGUAAAGGCCUACCAAGGCGACGAUCAGUAGCUGGUCUGAGAGGACGACCAGCCACACUGGGACUGAGACACGGUCCAGACUCCUACGGGGGGCAGCAGUGGGGAAUCUUCCACAAUGGGCGAAAGCCUGAUGGAGCGACGCCGCGUGAGUGAUGAAGGCCUUAGGGUUGUAAAGCUCUUUCAGUAGGGAAGAUAAUGACGGUACCUACAGAAGAAGCCCCGGCUAACUUCGUG